AAUUUUGGACAAUGGGCGCAAGCCUGAUCCAGCCAUGCAGCGUGAGUGAAGAAGGCCUUUGGGUUGUAAAGCUCUUUCGUACGGAAAGAAAUCGCGCAGGCUAAUACCCUGCGCGGAUGACGGUACGCGCAUAAUAAGCACCGCCUACCUACGUGCCAGCAUCCGCGGUAAUUCGUAGGGUGCGAGCGUUUAUCGGAAUUACGGGGCGUAAAGCGUGCGCAGGCGGUUGACUAAGACAGGCGUGAAAUCCCCGGGCUUAACCUGGGAACUGCGCUUGUGACUGGUCAGCUAGAGUACGGCAGAGGGGGGUGGAAUUCCACGUGUAGCAGUGAAAUGCGUAGAGAUGUGGAGGAACACCGAUGGCGAAGGCAGCCCCCUGGGCCGAUACUGACGCGCAUGCACGAAAGCGUGGGUAGCAAACAGG
rnacentral:rRNA from 1 species